GAUGAACGCUGGCGGCGUGCUUAACACAUGCAAGUCGAACGGACUGCGAGGAGCUUGCUCCUCAAAGUUAGUGGCGGACGGGUGAGUAACGCGUGGGUAACCUGCCCUAUGCAGGGGGAUAACGUUUGGAAACGAACGCUAAUACCGCAUAAUCUAGUUGGUUCGCAUGAACUAACUAGCAAAGAUCUAUCGGCAUAGGAUGGACCCGCGUUGGAUUAGCUAGUUGGUGAGAUAACAGCCCACCAAGGCAACGAUCCAUAGCCGGCCUGAGAGGGUGAACGGCCACACUGGGACUGAGACACGGCCCAGACUCCUACGGGAGGCAGCAGUGGGGAAUAUUGCACAAUGGGCGCAAGCCUGAUGCAGCGACGCCGCGUGAAGGAUGAAGGUCUUCGGAUCGUAAACUUCUAUCAGCAGGGAAGAAUACCAUGACGGUACCUGACUAAGAAGCCCCGGCUAACUACGUGCCAGCCGCCGCAGUAA
rnacentral:rRNA from 1 species